GUAAGGCUUAAAAAAUCUAUAUAAAAAAAAAGAAGAACGCUGGGAAAAAGCAAAACAAAAGUUGCGUAGCUUACACGAACGACCCUGGUCCCCGACUUCAUCUUCUCAAAACGACCCCCUGAACUUAUUCUUCACUCCACGAAGCAGAAGCCGAUGACCUCUCAACUCAACCCUCUUCACUCACACCCCUCACCAGCCUCGCCAGUCGCUACCAAACUUGUGGGAAAAUCCGGCAACACCCAACAGCAGAAAUUCAAGCAAAGCUGACCAUGGCUGCCUGAAACUACACCAGAUCAGUGUGCAAAUCAGUUCGAAAUCCCCACCCAAAUCCAGUCGAGUUGGGUCUGUUCGGUUCCGUUCGAGAUUUCGGCGAGGUUCCGGUGCUGCUACGUUUUCUGUUCGAGUCCGUGUCUGUUAGUCUAGCAUCAAAACAGUAUUGCGAAUGAAGCUGCAUUUCAUCGGAAGUUCAGAUUCGGGGCAUUUGCAGGCCGACUCGCGAGUCAAAGACAUUUUGGAGUAGAGUUUUGCUCGGACUGAGAUCCAAGAAUUUCUGGACGCGGAGGGUGUUGAUAGUUCUCAUAGUUGACUGUUGGAGAUAGCGAGGUAGCUUCCUGGCAUUCGCAGACCUUGUUUUCUUCUUCCUCACCUUUUCUUUCGUUUUAUUUGGAUUCAGACUGUGAUAGUGGUUUUAGUUCCAGACUGAUUAUGUUUAUAUGCUCAUGGUUUAGUGACACCCCGAUAUUGGGGCUAUUUUCCUCACUUGUAUUUGGGUUUAACCCCUGUUUGUGAAAAUUCUGUUUAUUUAAAAAAAUUGAUUUAUCUUUCUGUGAAA